rnacentral:rRNA from 1 species
UACGUGAGGGGGCAAGCGUUGUCCGGAAUCAUUGGGCGUAAAGAGCGUGUAGGCGGUCCGGUAAGUCGGCUGUGAAAGUCCAGGGCUCAACCCUGGGAUGCCGGUCGAUACUGCCGGACUAGAGUUCGGGAAGAGGCGAGUGGGAAUUCCCGGUGUAGCGGUGAAAUGCGCAGAUAUCGGGAGGAACACCUAUGGCGAAGGCAGCUCCGCUGGGACGUUACUGACGC